UCAUUUGUACCCUCAAGCUUUGCUUGGUGUUGGGUGUUUGUCCUUUCCAUGUGUUUGGACUCGCCUUAAAGUUAUUGGCAGCCGGUGUAAUGGCCUGGGAGCGCAGCACAUUUUGCGGUUCUGGUCACCUCACUCAGCAUCCAUGAAGCCUCUUUAUCACUUUUGACCUCGGAUCAGGUAGGGAUACCCGCUGAACUUAA
rnacentral:misc_RNA from 1 species